rnacentral:rRNA from 1 species
GACGAACGCUGGCGGCGUGCUUAACACAUGCAAGUCGAACGGAAAGGCCCUGCUUUUGUGGGGUGCUCGAGUGGCGAACGGGUGAGUAACACGUGAGUAACCUGCCCUUGACUUUGGGAUAACUUCAGGAAACUGGGGCUAAUACCGGAUAGCAGAUCCUGCUGCAUGGUGGGGGUUGGAAAGUUUCGGCGGUUGGGGAUGGACUCGCGGCUUAUCAGCUUGUUGGUGGGGUAGUGGCUUACCAAGGCGUUGACGGGUAGCCGGCCUGAGAGGGUGACCGGCCACAUUGGGACUGAGAUACGGCGCAGACUCCUACGGGAGGCAGCAGUGGGGAAUAUUGCACAAUGGGCGGAAGCCUGAUGCAGCAACGCCGCGUGCGGGAUGACGGCCUGCGGGUUGUAAACCGCUUUCGCCUGUGACGAAGCGUGAGUGACGGUAAUGGGUAAAGAAGCACCGGCUAACUACGUG